UCCGACUCUAUCAAGUGGUAUCAGUUUUCCAGGUUGCUCGGUGAGUUUAUCGAGUGUUUUUUUCCCUUCCUACAGUCCACAAAAACCAAAUAAAAAUUUAUUUUCAGGUUAGAUCCUUGUCCCAGCAACCCUUUUGAGCCUUGCACCUUCUUUCAAUAAUUGCGUUGUUGAAUUUGUGUGCUUUCCGAAUCAAUUGUUGCUGGUUACUUGUGCUUUCUCACCUUUUUUUCCCCUUCCGUUGUCUUGAACCCUAGCACAUCGCCA
rnacentral:lncRNA from 1 species